rnacentral:snRNA from 1 species
AUACUUACCUGGCAGGGGAGAUACCAUAAUCAUAAAAGUGGUUUUUCCAGGGCUAGGCUUAUUCAUUACAUUCUUGAUGUGAUGUGCUGACCCCUGCAAUUUCCCCAAAUAUGGGAAACUCGAGUGCAUAAUUUGUGGUAGUGGGGAAAUAUGUUCAUGUUCUCCCCU